rnacentral:rRNA from 1 species
AUUGAACGCUGGCGGCAUGCUUUACACAUGCCAGUCGAACGGCAGCGCGGGCUUCGGCCUGGCGGCGAGUGGCGCACGGGUGAGUAAUGCAUCGGAACGUGCCCAGUAGUGGGGGAUAGCCCGGCGAAAGCCGGAUUAAUACCCCAUACGACCUGAGGGUGAAAGCGGGGGACCGAAAGGCCUCGCGCUAUUGGAGCGGCCGAUGUCGGAUUAGCUAGUUGGUGGGGUAAAGGCUUACCAAGGCGACGAUCCGUAGCUGGUCUGAGAGGACGACCAGCCACACUGGGACUGAGACACGGCCCAGACUCCUACGGGAGGCAGCAGUGGGGAAUUUUGGACAAUGGGGGCAAGCCUGAUCCAGCCAUGCCGCGUGCGGGAAGAAGGCCUUCGGGUUGUAAACCGCUUUUGUUCGGGAAGAAAUCCUCUGGGUUAAUACCCCGGGGGGAUGACGGUACCGGAAGAAUAAGCACCGGCUAACUACGUG